UACGUAGGGGGCAAGCGUUGUCCGGAAUCACUGGGCGUAAAGGGUGCGUAGGCGGAUCUUUUAAGUCAGGGGUGAAAUCCUGGAGCUCAACUCCAGAACUGCCUUUGAUACUGAAGAUCUUGAGUUCGGGAGAGGUGAGUGGAACUGCGAGUGUAGAGGUGAAAUUCGUAGAUAUUCGCAAGAACACCAGUGGCGAAGGCGGCUCACUGGCCCGAUACUGACGCUGAGGCACGAAAGCGUGGGGAGCAAACAGG
rnacentral:rRNA from 1 species